GGCCUAAUACAUGCAAGUCGAGGGAGAUUGUUGGAUUCGUCUGACAUGAAACCGGCGCACGGGUGCGUAACACGUAUGCAACCUACCUUUAACUGGGGUAUAGCUCAGAGAAAUCUGAAUUAAUCCCCCAUAAGACUACGACAUGGCAUCAUGAUGUAGUUAAAGCUCCGGCGGUUAAGGAUGGGCAUGCGGUACAUUAGCUAGUUGGUGAGGUAAUGGCUCACCAAGGCUACGAUGUAUAGGGGGUCUGAGAGGAUGAUCCCCCACACUGGAACUGAGACACGGGUCAGACUCCUACGGGAGGCAGCAGUGAGGAAUUUUGGACAAUGGGGGAAACCCUGAUCCAGCGACGCCGCGUGAAGGAUGAAGGUCUUCGGAUUGUAAACUUC
rnacentral:rRNA from 1 species